rnacentral:lncRNA from 1 species
AUGCAAUUUGUGAGCUUCAAAUUUAAGGAGUUGUACCAUAGAUUAGAAAUAAUUCAAAGCCUCCUUAAAAUUCCCUUUUGCUUUUACCCACAGGCUAACUCGAUUCUUCUUCCCUCUGGCCAGAACACAUGCCACCGAAGGAACGAUUUAUUUCCUGAAACCAUGCUGCUUUCAGCAGUUUCCAAUAGCUUUAAAUUAUGUGAAGUAAAACAAAAGUCUUCAAAUCUACAAGAAGUUCUCCAUUAGCUGUGUGUUUUUCUCUAAGGAAAUUAUCGCUUUUUAAUCUGCCAUUCAUCUCAUCCACAGAGGAACAAAGUGGAUUUUCAGGUCAGAUACCUCUCUUACAAAUCGAUAAGACGUUGUUGAAAAGUUGGAAUUUGAAAGGUAUGGUAAAAAUUGUAUGUAUGUGACUUCUGUGUAAAUGAUGUACUUAAGACUGUGCAAUAUUGAGAGAUGUUUGAACCCGAGUGGGUUCUUGGCUGGACCCUACAAGUGAAAGAAAUGAAGUCAUAGCGAUUGCUUGUUUUUGUCAAGGAGGUGUGUAAGAUGUUUUUGUUUCAGGCAACUGAUUCCUUGAGGUAACGUAUAUCAGUGUAUAUGAAGAAACUGGGUCAUACUCUAUUAGGUUUUGCAGAAAUAUAGUAAGCAAAAAGUGGAUGUUCUAACAGCCUACAGAAAUUGAACUGUAAGGCUGGGAGUACUUGGGAUGCACGAACAAGACUCGGCUGUAUUGUGGGAAUUAGCUUUGUAUCAUGAUAAUGCAGAUGCUCUUUUGGAAUUGAUCUGAAAUAUAAAUAAUUGAUUUUUCAAAAGUAAAGCUUCUAAAAAUGAAAGGAAGAAGUCUCCUGUUGAAACUUGCAAGGAAUAAAAUAUUUUAAUUGAGUUCCUAAACUGGUAUU